UGCUGGUCAGCGUGCAAGUGCUGCGCAGGAUCCUCAAAAGUUUGCGCGCGCGCAAGAGCUGCUGCGCAUGAAUGUGGAGAUCAAACAGGCAAAGAAGGUCUGUGUUGUCCCAAUAUCCCAAAUCAUCGUGUCAAUGUACUACUGUAGUUAUGAAAUUGUAAGGCAGGACAUCCACCUCUAGAAGAUAUCGAGUGUGUCCGUGUUAUUGCGAUUCUGCGAUUCUCAUUGGCAGCUGCUGUCUAUGCAGAUUUUCAAUGAGGAGGACGUUGCACGAGGGGUACUGGAUGAAGAUGCCCCUUAGCUGAUGCAGCACACCAUUGUAUGAUAUGGGUCUCAUGUAGGACUGCCAAGUCCUCAACCUGUAGUAUUAUGUUACUUGUGUGGUCGGCUGUGCGCCCAGGCAGUUGUUUCUUGAUGGGCACCUUUGCUGCAGAAGAAGGAGACGUGCAUGAUUUUUAGCUAGAGCUGUGUGAAUUAGUAGGCUAGGAACUAAAGGGAGCAGAGCAUUAGAAGACCGGCAAGCAGAAGUAUUCUGCCGAAGGGCAGCAUAUCUCAGGCUGAGAUGAAAGAUCAUGCCAGGCUUAGGCCUGUUGAUUGUCCUAUCGCUUUCAGCUGGAUCCAGCUCCGGGCAGAGAUUCUUUGAGCACUUUUUGAUGUUUUCCAAGGAAGGAUUGGCAUUUCUGCAUGCGAAUCUGGGACAGCCUUGGAGCCCGGCCUCAAUUGAAAGUAGAUGAAGCCUGCAGCAUGCUAGCAAUUGUGCCUGAUCAGUAAUGCAG
rnacentral:lncRNA from 1 species